UCCCCCGCACCCCUUUGGCCGUGAAUGGCACGGCCCGGAUGCGCUUGUACGCAGGGAGGGUGCGGGCGAACCAUUGAGCGGGGGCGGGGGAACCCGGCAGCCGCCGGCUGGGAACACCCCUUCGCCCGGGCGUUGCGGCGGCGGCGGCAGGGGGGGAAGCGGACGUGACAGGCUGAGCAGCUGGGCGCAGGCUGCCGGAGGCGGAGGGCGAUGGUUGUUCCUAGGGGACAGGAGUACCAGGCUCCCCAGGAGGUUGAAACGAGAGAAGAUGAGGAACAAAACAUCAAGUUGACUGAAAUUUUGGAACUGUUGGUGGCUGCUGGGUAUUUUCGAGCCAGAAUCAAGGGGUUAUCACCCUUUGACAAGGUGGUAGGCGGCAUGACGUGGUGUAUCACUACCUGCAGCUUUGAUAUUGAUGUUGAUUUAUUGUUUCAGGAAAACUCUACUAUUGGUCAAAAAAUUGCCUUAACUGAAAAAAUUGUGUCAGUAUUGCCAAAAAUGAAGUGUCCUCAUCGUUUGGAACCACAUCAGAUCCAGGGACUGGAUUUCAUUCAUAUAUUUCCUGUUAUACAGUGGCUGGUAAAACGAGCAAUAGAAACAAGGGAAGAAAUGGGAGAUUAUAUCCGUUCUUACUCUAUAUCACAGUUUCAAAAAACUCAUAGACUACCAGAGGAUGAUGAAUUUAUGCAAAGAAAAGAGAAGGCUAUCAAAGCUGUCACUGAUAUAUUUGAGGUUUACAAACCCCAGAGAAAAUAUAAACGUCAGAAGGGAGCUGAAGAACUACUAGAUGAAGAAUCAAAGGUUCAUGCUACACUUCUGGAAUAUGGCAGGAGAUACGGAUUUAGCAGACAAGCAGGAAAAACGGAACAGGCUGAAGACAAAAAAAUUGCAGUACCUCCAGGGCUCGCAGCAGCAGGAAAAGCUGAGCCUUGUGAUGAAGACGACCUUCAAGCUGCUGAAGAGCUUCGCAUUAAAACUCUGAUGACCGGAAUGGCUGCAAUGGCAACAGAAGAGGGCAAAUUGACAGCAAGCACAGUUGGCCAGAUUGUUGGACUCCAGUCAGAUGAGAUCAAGCAAAUAGUGUCAGAAUAUGCUGAAAAGCAAUCUGAGCUUUCUGCUGAGGAGCGACCAGAAAGGCUCGGAGCUGCCCAACAACAUAGAAGGAAGGUGGCAUCUCUGAAUAAGCAGAUUUUGCAAAAAACCAAACUCCUGGAAGAGUUGCAAGCUAAAUGUACUGAUCUGCAGGCAAAAUGUACUGAAGCAAAAAAGACGUUAACAGAGGUUAAGAGUUACAGUGAAAAGCUGGACAAGAAAUUGGCAGCCUUAGAAACAAUAGAAUCCCAAGCAGAUUCUAGCAUAUUACAGAGUCUGCGAGCACUGGUGGCCAUGAAUGAAAACCUAAAAAGCCAGGAGCAAGAGUUCAAAGCACAUUGUAGGGAAGAAAUGGAGAGACUUCAACAAAGUAUUGAGAAUUUGAAAGCUGAGGCAGUGGAAAAUGGGGAGGAACAGGAGCCGAAUAAGGUUAUAGAACAGCAGUACAAAACUGAGAAAGAUAAGCUUCAAAAGAUUCGUCUGUUAUUGGCACGAAGAAACAGAGAAAUAGCCAUUUUGCAACGCAAGAUUGAUGAAGUACCCAGCCGAGCUGAGCUAACACAGUAUCAGAAGAGAUUUAUUGAACUUUACAGUCAGGUCUCAGCAACACACAAAGAAACAAAGCAGUUCUUUACUCUUUAUAAUACGCUGGAUGAUAAAAAAGUGUAUUUGGAAAAGGAGGUUAACUUGCUGAAUUCUAUUCAUGACAACUUUCAUCAAGCAAUGGCAUCUUCUGGUUCUCGGGAGCAGUUUUUACGGCAGAUGGAGCAGAUUGUAGAAGGCAUCAAACAGAAUCGAAUGAAGGAAACUUCGUUAUUGGCAGUGUAGUGAUGUAGAUGCUUGAAACAGCUGUACAUCACUGAAGUCAAUGAGAAUUCUUCCAUUUGGAUUUCAUGGAGACAGUCAGACCUGUGUCUCGGGUACGGUUUCCCAAGCAGCUGGAGCUGAUUGAAGCUUCUUGCUGUUGCUGAAGAGGGUCAGCACCACCUCACAGAGUCCCAGCCAUCAGCUUCCCUUGUGCCAGUUGCAGCACUCAUCUGACAUCUUGUUGAAUCCACUCAGAUGGAAAAGAAGAAACAAGAAAACAAAAUGCGAAGAGACCAGUUGAACGAUGAAUAUUUAGAGCUUCUAGAGAAACAGAGGCUUUACUUUAAAACAGUGAAAGAAUUUAAAGAGGAAUGCCGUAAGAAUGAAAUACUGCUGUCCAAGCUGAAAGCCAGUUCUUCCUGAAGAACUUCAGCUGGUGAAGUUUCUAGAUGAUUGUUCAGUCCAUUGAAUCUCUUUUGUGAGGUGACAGUUAUAACUGCAAUGUAGAUAUAUAUAGAGAUAUAUAUAAAAUAUAUAUAUAUACACACAGCUAUAAAAGUGGUUUUUGGGUUUGGUUUUUUUUCCCCAGUAUGUAUUCAGUUUUACAUUCCUUCAUCACUGGCUGUAUUCUUCAUUGUUGCCUCCACUGCACAGUAAAGAGUUAACACAGUACAGCAAAAUAGAAAUAUUGUCUAAUUUUAUUUAUAUGGGUUUGGGUUUUUCCCCCCCACAGUAGGAACAGUGGGGAUGUGUUUUACUUUGGUUUUAACACUGAAUUAGGUCAAGAUUCUGGAAUAAGUAGAUAUGUACUGUGUAAUAUAUCCAGUACCAAUAAGAUGAGCCCUGCAGAGUGCAGUGGUUUGUUAAUUUUGGCUAAAAAAUGGGAUUCUUGAAACUUUCUUCACCAGCUAAUAACUUCACAUUGUUUUAUUUUACACUCUAGCCAUAGAUAAGAUUCCAAAGGAAAAAAAAAACAAUUUUUAAAGGUUAACACGCAAGAAAAUGGAAACUUGCCUUGCAUAAUUCCUGGUGUAAAAUUAUAGAUCUAUAUUUUUAUAAAGUUUAGCUGUUGUAUAAAUUUCUUUGAAAUUUCAUUUUUAUAUAUAGAGAGUGUACUUGUUAAAUUAAUAGCUCUAGGAAGAAACACUUUAAUCACUAGGAUUAUCAUUUUAUGCCUGACUGGGAUGAAAAUUAGAGUCAAGUCACUUGUAAUAUAGGAAGAAAAAGAUUCAGACUUUCUGCUCACAUGAACUGAUGUUCACCUUUGAAGACAACAACCUAUUUACCUGCUGAAGAUUUGCCCUUGAAAGUUUAGAAACUUUGUGGAACACUUUCUGAAACAUUUUUAUCUGUAUAUACAGUGUUUUGUAAUUCAAACAGUGCUUUUUGUACUUAACAUCAGGAUUUUGGACUGACUUCUUAAUGUAAAUCACAUCUUCAGGAGAAAAACCCCAUGUUCUUUUUCCCCAGUAACACUGAUGACAGUGCUGUUUGGUUACUUUCUAUGGCAGCGAAUAUAAAAUAAAGGAUGUUUGGAAUCCAGUGA